rnacentral:rRNA from 1 species
UACGUAGGGUGCGAGCGUUGUCCGGAAUUACUGGGCGUAAAGAGCUUGUAGGUGGUUUGUCGUGUUGUUCGUGAAAUCUCACGGCUUAACUGUGAGCGUGCGGGCGAUACGGGCAGACUAGAGUACUGCAGGGGAGACUGGAAUUCCUGGUGUAGCGGUGGAAUGCGCAGAUAUCAGGAGGAACACCGGUGGCGAAGGCGGGUCUCUGGGCAGUAACUGACGCUGAGAAGCGAAAGCGUGGGGAGCGAACAGG